rnacentral:rRNA from 1 species
GAUGAACGCUAGCGGAAGGCUUAAUACAUGCAAGUCGAACGGUAGGUGGCUUCGGCCAUUGAGAGCGGCGCACGGGUGAGUAACGCGUACAUGACCUGCCUGUCAGAAGGGGAUAGCCCUGGGAAACUGGGAUUAAUACCCUAUGGUAUUGAUAUUAUGAAUGAUAUCAAUUAAAGUUGAGGCGCUGACAGAUGGAUGUGCGUCUGAUUAGCUAGUUGGUAGGGUAACGGCCUACCAAGGCGACGAUCAGUAGGGGGCGUGAGAGCGUGGUCCCCCACACGGGUACUGAGACACGGACCCGACUCCUACGGGAGGCAGCAGUAAGGAAUAUUGGUCAAUGCCCGCAAGGGUGAACCAGCCAUUCCGCGUGGAGGAUGAAGGCCCUAUGGGUUGUAAACUUCUUUUAGAUGGGAAGAAAAUGCUAGAUGUAUCUGGUACUGACGGUACCAUCAGAAUAAGCACCGGCUAACUCCGUGCCAGCAGCCGCGGUAAAAC